CUUUCCCAGCCGAGCGCUGGGCCGCAGAGGAAGGCCAGGGGCUUCCGGAGGCAGUUUCUCUGACAACCGUACUCAGGAAAAACACAAAGGCCCAGUUCAGUUAGCAAACGUAACAGACCUUACAGAGAAGUUCCGAGAACGCUGCUGCCCCGGAGAGAGGCAACUGCUGGGCAGGAGCAGCUGCACACAGCCUGGGAGGACGCGCGCUCUGCUGCCUGAGGGCCGCACAAGGCCGGACGCAGGGAGCUAAAGGCAACAGGAAGGCCCAGCAGAUGUUUCAGGGGUUGAGGGGGCUGUGACCAGAGCAGACCCUCUGGCCUUACCCACAACGUUAACAUCAGUCAAUGAAUCAUCAGUGACUCAGAAGCUAUUCCUCUUGGUCUAAUAAAACCUUGUUCACAGGGAGGAGGAGUGGGGAAGUUGCUCCCAAGAACAACAGCAGCAGCCACAACCACCCCAAGGUCUCUCCACAAUCAUUAAGGGGAACCUCUCCAGGGUAGGAAAUGAACGGAAUUGGGAGAGAUAAAAGGCUUGGUGAUAAGUCCCAUACCCGGUGAGAGGAAGACUGACUACUUACUUACACAAGAGUCAGAGAGGCAUAAUGCCCACAAAAUAUGAAGCCCUAUAAAUUAAUUCUGAAAGCCGGAGAAAAUGCCAGGAGAAUGUUCUCAUAACCCCAAGACUUGCCUGUGUAACCUGGUUUUUCAGCUGUCUGCUCCAGAUCAUUUGGUGUAAUUCUGCAUACAAUCAAAGCCACUUACAAAGCUUUGUGAAAGGUUUACAAAGCCUGGCGGUUCACUCUGAGAUGGGCUCUGUCACAAAAAGGAGGCCUUAGGCCUUAGCGGCAUUUCUCCAGGAUAAUCCAAGGCAACAGGACACCCUCCUCAUCUGUGCCACAGCUGUGGCAUCUUCAGAGAUCAACCAAGGAAAAUCUUUCUUCUGGAUCCACACCAGACAGGUUUACCUGAAGAUUCUUCUCCACCGUUAGGACAUCCAAGAGUUGUGAGAAUCACUAACACUUCACUCAUCUUCCUUCCCAUGUGAAAAGGGAAGAGGAGUUCCUGGCUUUUAAUUUACCUUAGUGUUAGAAGCUUUCUUAUCUGACACAUUCAGAAUAUAUAGUUAGCUGGUUUAUCAAAUAAAUAAAUAAAUAUACUGAAGUUAGGGAUCUUUAAAAAUAAUAUCUUAAACAUUCUUUAUGAAAAUAUUUAAGAGUACACAGUUUACUACUUCUUUGAUGUAAGGCCGAGGCCUCUGCUUUAUGUAUAGAUCUUCUAGUUAGAUUUCUACAUCCUGUUAAGCAUAUCCACUAUGCAUCAUCCACCAUUUCCAGUUUUGUUCUUUAUAAUAAAGCAAGAAAGUUAAAGACACCUGAGAAGCAACCUGACUUGAGAAUCGUGCUAUGAUGCUUAGUCAUUCACAUUUUUCACAACCUUUGUGACUGGCUUACCCAUACCUAACUCAAAAGCAAUUUUUGUCUAGCAAAGUGACUAGCACUCUAUUUUAGUUUUCAUAUAAACAUUCCUCUUGUAUACAUUAGUUUACAGAAUAAUUUGUUAUAUAGUAAAAUAACUAAGUACAACUGCCAUCAACAGAUUGGGGACUCAUGAUAAACAUACAUACCACAAGGGGGGCCAAAAUACACAUUGAUGUGCAAAAGAAGAGCCUCCUAGAAUGUCAUAGACAUUAGCAUGUAGACUUUAUGGAGGAAAGAGAGAGCAUCAGUUGAUCCAGGUAGCUGAUUAACAGAAGAUGGGAUAUGAGAUAUUCUGCUGUUAACUUCUUAAGCAUUUGGCUUUUUGCAAAGGCCUACUUAUUUAGAAAGGAAAUAAAAGGAACCUACCUAAAGUUCCUCUCUACAAUCAGAAAAUCACCUUAAUUAAAAUACAUAAAUAUAAAUAAAAAUUAUAGAGAAAAAAACAGCGAAUGCUGUCUGGAUUUUAAAAAUAAGAAAAUGAAGUUUCAGAAAAUAAAGGAUGCAAAGGAGCAGCAGCAGAGGAAGACUUCUAUCCCACAGCUCCUCUUCAAGAAAAAGCUUGUGUGACUCCAACACUACUAAAGCGAGCACAGAGAUAGGAUGUGCCAGUUCUAGUGCACUUCCACCCAAGUUCAUAGACUCUCACGUGCUGCCGCAACUUCUCAAUGUCAUCAACAACGAGGUGCACUAAAAAUGACCUCAAACUUGGACAAGUGAAUGGCACUUAUAAAUACAGGCCAGUGGACCCCAUGACUGCCUUUGCAUGUUUCUAAAACUGUUAAAAUACAAGGGCACCUGGGUGGCUCAGCCGGUUAAGCAUUUGCCUUUGGCUCAGGUCAUGACCUCAGGGUCCUGACACUGAAUCCCCUGCAUCA